AGUGAGCUAAGGCUUUAUAGAGAGUAUUCCCCCUGUGAUUAAUCCUUUGAUCACAGAAUCAUCUUCAAGAUCUCUCUGUUUAACUGUGAAAUAGUACAAUUAAAAUUUGACAUUUUACUGACACAUCUUCUCCAGAAUGUGUGGCAAGAACUGGAAUGAUUUUGCUCUGUGGAGAGAUAACAUCCCAAGCUAUAGUAGAUCAUUAACAAAUUGUAAGAGAGACCCUUAAGAGGAUAGGAUAUGAUGACUCUUCCAAAGGAAUGGACUAUAAGAUUUGCACAGUUUCAGUGGCCCUAGAACAACAAUGUAAAGAAAUCAAGCAAGCUCUCUCCCACGGCAAGACUGACAAUGAUGUUGAAGCAGGGGAUCAGGGUUUGAUACUUGGCUAUGCCACUGAUGAAACUGAGGUAUCUAUGCCCUUAACAGUCCUCCUGGCACACAAACUGACUGCAAGCAUAAGGGCCCUGGAAUGGGAUGGAACAUGGCCCUGGGUCAGACCAGAUGGGAAAUCACAGGUUUGUAAGAGAUGUAUCAACUGUAAAGGUCACAAUGUAAUACAAGGAACGUAAUGGUGCACUGGAGCCGAUCUGAGUGCACACACUUGUGGUUUCAGUAAAUCAUGCACUGGACACACCACUACAACAAAUACAGAAUUAGCUGAUGGAGAAAGUUGUUUAAAAAGCCAUUCCAGAGAAGUUCCUUGAUGAGGGUACAAUUUAUGAUCUCCUUCCAAGUG